CACGCGCAGGCUCAUCCACGCCGCCGACAGCAUGGCCUCGUCGUUGAAGAAUUCGAUGUACCAGCGCAGCGACCAGCCGCCCCACACCGUCACGAGCCGCGAGGCGGUGAACGAAUAGAUCACAAGGAUCGGCAGAUACAGGAACGCCAGCCCGAGCGCGACCGAAGCGAGAUUGAAGCCGGAGAAACGGGUUUGCCGCGCAGCCAUCAGUGCUGCUCCAGAUGGCGGCGUUGCAGUUUCUCGUAGAUCAGCAGCGGCACCAGCAGCACG
rnacentral:misc_RNA from 1 species